rnacentral:rRNA from 1 species
AACGAACGCUGGCGGCAUGCCUAACACAUGCAAGUCGAACGAGAUCCUUCGGGGUCUAGUGGCGCACGGGUGCGUAACGCGUGGGAAUCUGCCCUUAGGUUCGGAAUAACAGUUAGAAAUGACUGCUAAUACCGGAUGAUGACGUUAAGUCCAAAGAUUUAUCGCCUGAGGAUGAGCCCGCGUAGGAUUAGCUAGUUGGUGUGGUAAAGGCGCACCAAGGCGACGAUCCUUAGCUGGUCUGAGAGGAUGAUCAGCCACACUGGGACUGAGACACGGCCCAGACUCCUACGGGAGGCAGCAGUGGGGAAUAUGGGACAAUGGGCGCAAGCCUGAUCCAGCAAUGCCGCGUGAGUGAUGAAGGCCUUAGGGUUGUAAAGCUCUUUUACCCGAGAUGAUAAUGACAGUAUCGGGAGAAUAAGCCCCGGCUAACUCCGU